rnacentral:ncRNA from 2 species
UGCUAGAAGACGAUUUUCGGGCCGA